AUUGAACGCUGGCGGCAUGCCUUACACAUGCAAGUCGAACGGUAACAGGUCUUCGGAUGCUGACGAGUGGCGAACGGGUGAGUAAUACAUCGGAACGUGCCUAGUAGUGGGGGAUAACUACUCGAAAGAGUGGCUAAUACCGCAUGAGAUCUACGGAUGAAAGCAGGGGAUCGAAAGACCUUGUGCUACUAGAGCGGCGGAUGGCAGAUUAGGUAGUUGGUGGGAUAAAAGCUUACCAAGCCGACGAUCUGUAGCUGGUCUGAGAGGACGAUCAGCCACACUGGGACUGAGACACGGCCCAGACUCCUACGGGAGGCAGCAGUGGGGAAUUUUGGACAAUGGGCGAAAGCCUGAUCCAGCAAUGCCGCGUGCAGGAUGAAGGCCUUCGGGUUGUAAACUGCUUUUGUACGGAACGAAAAGCCCCGGGUUAAUACCCUGGGGUCAUGACGGUACCGUAAGAAUAAGCACCGGCUAACUACAUGCCAGCCGCCGCCGUAA
rnacentral:rRNA from 1 species